rnacentral:rRNA from 1 species
ACAACCAGGAUGUUGGCUCAGAAGCAGCCACUCAUUUAAAGAGUGCGUAAUAGCUCACUGGUCGAGCGUCUUUGCGCGGAGAAUUUAACGGGGCUAAACCUGACACCGAAGCUUAGGCAGCAGAAAUGCUGGGUAGGGGAGCGUUGUAUACGCGGAGAAACAGUAGCGUGAGCGGCUGUGGAGUGUAUAGAAGUGAGAAUGCCGGAAUGAGUAGCGCGAAUGCAGUGAGAAUCUGCAUGGCCGAAAGCCUCAGGUUUUUGGAGGAAGGUUCGUCCGCUCCAAGUUAGUCGGGAGCUAAGGUGAGGCCGAAAGGCGUAGCCGAUGCACAGACGGUUGAGAUUCCGUCACCGCCAAAAGAGUUAAGCAUGGGGACACAUCCGAAGUGUCGGAGCCGGGAGUUGGUUCCGGUAGCGAUCGAGGGAAAUAAGUACCGAAGUCCGGCAUGGAGGGUGGCGAGAAAAGCCAUGUGUAUUUCUGCGGCGCCCGUACCGCAAACCGACACAGGUAGGUAGGAAGAAGAUUCUAAGGCCAACGGGAGAAGGGUUGUUAAGGAACUCGGCAAAUUGACCCCGUAACUUCGGGAGAAGGGGUGCUGCAGAG